rnacentral:rRNA from 1 species
GACGAACGCUGGCGGCGUGCUUAACACAUGCAAGUCGAACGGUAAGGCCCUGCUUUUGUGGGGUGCUCGAGUGGCGAACGGGUGAGUAACACGUGAGUAACCUGCCCUUGACUUUGGGAUAACUUCAGGAAACUGGGGCUAAUACCGGAUAGGAGCUCCUGCUGCAUGGUGGGGGUUGGAAAGUUUCGGCGGUUGGGGAUGGACUCGCGGCUUAUCAGCUUGUUGGUGGGGUAGUGGCUUACCAAGGCUUUGACGGGUAGCCGGCCUGAGAAGGUGACCGGCCACAUUGGGACUGAGAUACUGCCCGGACUCCUACUGGAGGCAGCAGUAGGGAAUAUUGCACAAUGGGCGGAAGCCUGAUGCAGCAACGCCGCGUGCGGGAUGACGGCCUUCGGGUUGUAAACCGCUUUCGCCUGUGACGAAGCGUUAGUGACGGUAAUGGGUAAAGAAGCACCGGCUAACUACGUG